rnacentral:misc_RNA from 1 species
UGGAAGUAAAAGUCGUAACAAGGUUUCCGUAGGUGAACCUGCGGAAGGAUCAUAAAGAAGCUUCGGCGCUAGCCGGAGCGCACUUACACACUGAGUAUAACUUCUAGGCUAAUACACAUACACAAACACAGAUUACUAAAUCUCCUCCCAACGGAUCUCUUGGCUCUCGCGACGAUGAAGAACGCAGCGAUCCGCGAUACGUCCUGGAAGCCGCCGUGAACCAUCAAUUUUCGAACGCACAUUGCAUACAGGGAGGGUGGGGUGAGUCUACUCUCACUAUCGUGGUUUAAAUACAAAGGAUGACUAAUACAAUCGUCAGCCCCCAAAUUUUCUCCCCCGCCCCCUCAGAUUACCCGCUGAACUUAAGCAUAUCAAUAAGCGGAGGAA